rnacentral:tRNA from 1 species
GGACUGGCUAGGUAGAGCAUCGGUCUACGGAACCGAAGGUUAGAGGUUCGAGUCCUCUAGGGUGCG